GCUACGGGCCAAACCCUCUUGGGCUCCCCGUGAUCCUCCUGAGUCCCGGAGGUUAAGAAAGAAAAGGGCCUGGUUAGUACUUGGAUUGAAAGACCGCCUGGGAAUCCAAGGUGCCGUAAGCN
rnacentral:rRNA from 1 species